GACAGGGACCCUAGUGCUAGUAUUUUACUUAAGAUGUAACCCCAGGCAAUACUGAUAAAGAUGUGGAGGAUGUGGAGAAGUGAGGCAAAGAAGAGAAGAUGACCAAUAAAAUGUACAUUAUCAAGCCAGCUACCAUUGUUGGCCACAUGAUUCCAGAUGGUACAGAUACACUUUGCAUUCUCCACUUGUCCAACACUUCCUGACUGCCUACCUUGUGACAGAAAUGUGUUUAAUAUCAAACAAGACAUGUAAGAUACCUGCUCUCAUGGUGCUUAUAUUUUCAUGGAGAGAGAUAGAUCACAAAUAAACAUACAAGCAGCACAAUUUCAGAUACGUGCAAUGAAAAAAGCAGAGUCUCCUAUAGGCCUGGGAGGCUCUACAGUAACUUGCCCGCUAUGUGAUGGUGUAGCAUUGUUCCCCGAUAGCAGCACAGACUUCCAGUAUGCCCAUGGCAGAAGAAGAAAGCAUCAUAGCAUCUCACAUUGGGAAAAAAUUGUUUCCGCCCAGGAGUCACACAGGUGCAUUCUCUUUACAUUUCAUUGGCCAAAGCAAGCCACCUGGUGUUCCCUAACUUCAAAGGGCCAGCAAGUUGUAAUCCCUCACUUGUAUCCAGAAGGAGGCAAACUGGACAUAUUGACAGGUAGCUACUGUGUUUAUGCUGGCUCCAGAGUGAUUAGGAAAAGUCAUUAUUGAAGACAGAGGGAAAAGCAUUUCAGCCAGAUGGAAUAGCAAAAGUAAAAGCUUCAGACUGAGAAUGAGCGUGGAUCGUUGAGGAAUGAAGCCAAGAGGAUAAUGAGCAUGGAGGAGAACAGAAGGGGAAAGUACAUGUCUGAAGAAGGCAGAG